AGGAGCGGAAUGAGGUGAAAGUCUCACGUUCCGUUUUGAAGACGAGUCGAUAAGGCGACUUAUCGGCUUAGUUUAAC
rnacentral:ncRNA from 1 species